UACGAAGGGGGCUAGCGUUGUCCGGAAUUAUUGGGCGUAAAGGGCUCGUAGGCGGUCUGUUACGUCGGGAGUGAAAACUCAGGGCUCAACCCUGAGCCUGCUUCCGAUACGGGCAGACUAGAGGUAUGCAGGGGAGAAUGGAAUUCCUGGUGUAGCGGUGAAAUGCGCAGAUAUCAGGAGGAACACCGGUGGCGAAGGCGGUUCUCUGGGCAUUACCUGACGCUGAGGAGCGAAAGUGUGGGGAGCGAACAGG
rnacentral:rRNA from 1 species